UGAAAUCAAGAAAGUGCAGAUCUCCUACACCAGCCGACAGAAUUCCAAGAUCUUUGGGUGUUUUGUUCAUCACCCUAGGGUCUACAAUCGACCCUAGUUUGGGCCCCAUCUGAGCCUCCCAGCUCCAUCCGCAGGGAUUUAGAGUUUAAUCUCACUGCCAAACGGAAGAUGGGUUAUCUAACUAGGUUUCCACCUGUUACAACUUCUGGUACUGUUCACAGUCCCAGAACAACCCCACUAAUCUUCUCUCUCUUCUCUCCAAGUUACUACUCACAGGUACUGUUCACAGGCCCAGAUCAAUCCCUUUAUAUCU